rnacentral:rRNA from 1 species
CCUACGGGUGGCAGCAGUAGGGAAUUUUGCGCAAUGGGCGAAAGCCUGACGCAGCAACGCCGCGUGAUCGAGACGCCCUUCGGGGUGUAAAGAUCUGUCAGUGGGGACGAAACUUGACGGUACCCACAGAGGAAGCACCGGCUAACUCCGUGCCAGCAGCCGCGGUAAUACGGGGGGUGCAAGCGUUGUCCGGAAUCAUUGGGCGUAAAGAGUUCGUAGGCGGCACGUAAAGUCUGGUGUUAAAGGCAGAGGCUCAACUUCUGUACGGCACUGGAUACUUGCGAGCUAGAAUGCGGUAGAGGUAAAGGGAAUUCGUGGUGUAGCGGUGAAAUGCUUAGAUAUCACGAAGAACUCCGAUUGCGAAGGCAGCUUACUAAACUGCCACUGACAUUGAUGCUCGAAAGUGUGGGUAUCAAACAGGAUUAGAUACCCGGGUAGUC